CAGUCGCCACGGGAAUACGAAGGGGGCUAGCGUUGUUCGGAAUUACUGGGCGUAAAGGGCGCGUAGGCGGCCAUUCAAGUUAGAUGUGAAAGCCCUGGGCUCAACCUAGGAAUUGCAUUUGAUACUGUUUGGCUUGAGUUCGGGAGAGGUGAGUGGAAUUCCCAGUGUAGAGGUGAAAUUCGUAGAUAUUGGGAAGAACACCAGUGGCGAAGGCGGCUCACUGGCUCAUACUGGACGCUGAGGUGCGAAAGCGUGGGGAGCAAACAGGAUUAGAUACCCCGGUAGUCCCUGUCUCUUAUAC
rnacentral:rRNA from 1 species